AUUGAACGCUGGCGGCAGGCUUAACACAUGCAAGUCGAGCGAGCGGCGGACGGGUGAGUAAUGUCUGGGAAACUGCCUGACGGAGGGGGAUAACUACUGGAAACGGUAGCUAAUACCGCAUACCAUCAGAUGUGCCCAGAUGGGAUUAGCUAGUAGGGGGGGUAAUGGCUCACCUAGGCGACGAUCCCUAGCUGGUCUGAGAGGAUGACCAGCCAAACGGGAACUGAGACACGGUCCAGACUCGUAGGGGAGGCAGCAGUGGGGAAUAUGGCACAAGGGGCGCAAGCCUGAGGCAGCCAUGCCGCGUGUGUGAAGAAGGCCUUAGGGUUGUAAAGCACUUUCAGCGAGGAGGCGUUACUCGCAGAAGAAGCACCGGCUAACUCCGUGCCAGCAGCGGCGGUAAUAC
rnacentral:rRNA from 1 species